GAGAAAUCCUAGAUGCCAGGGAUCUACGAGUAUGGGCAUCCCAGCUACAUUGUCCACCGGGACCACAGAAGCGAUUUGAUUCCUGAGGUCUGGUGCUGGCUGAGCCGCUGCAGCGGCGAGGGCUUCCAGGCGGGACUCUGACCUGGAGCGGAGCCGAGCCGGGGCUUUCGCCUCCUGGUCAGGCGAGGUGCGCUCCUGGCUGCCCCGGCGGAAGGACCGGCAGCUCGGUCUGGUUACGCCCGAGAGCACCGGGAGCCCCUGCCCAGGGAGGGAGGGGACGCGGUGACGGAGAGGGGCUGCGGGAGAGGCCGGCGCGGUGCCUCCGGCGCCCACAGCCCCGCAUCCCCGCUGGCCGCGGCGGAGCCGGGCGGGGUGAGGGGCACACCCCGCCCCGGGCCGGGCAGGACAGGGGAGCGGGCAGCGGCCCCGGGAGCCUCCGCCGUGGGGAGAUCGGACAAAGGCUUCCAGGAGAGGGAGUGGCAAGCGGCCGCCCAGCCCUCGGCGGGCUGCGGGCGGGUCGGUGCCGCCGGGACGGGGGGAGAGCAAACGAGACAACUUCCCUAGGGGCACGGGGGGCCCCAGCACGGCGGCAGCGGCAGCUCCUCUCGAAAGGAAGGGGCUCUCCCUUGCAGCUGGCUGCUUCCCCGAAGGUGGCUGCGGGGAGGGGAGGUGGGGGAGGAGCCGGGCGCAUCCCCGGGCGGGCGGCGGCCCCUCCACUGCGCCAACCUGCAGGCGGGCUGGAGGCGGCAGCCCCGCCCGGCCUCGGCUGCCGGGGCCGCGCCGCCCCUCGCCUUCGUCCCGGGCAGAGCCGCACGCAGCCGCUUCCCGCUGCGUCGGUCCUGGACUGCAGCUCGGUGGCGGCCAGGGCAACAAGCAGCGGCAUCUUGGAGCAUCUUCUUUCCCGAGUGCCCUUUCAUCUCUCCCAGCCCGCUCCUCUCUCGUACCUGCAGCCUUUUCUUCUCCCUCCACUCCUUCUACCUUAUUUCUCCUUGUCUCUCCCUUCUCUUACCAUUUUCUGGUUUUAAGGGUUUUUUUUGCUUUCCUUUUCUUUCUUCUUCUCCCAUCCUGUUCCUUUUUGGACCAUCUUCAUUUAGUGCCUCUUAAUUUCUUCAUUUCUUCUGGUUUUUUUCCCUUGGA
rnacentral:lncRNA from 13 species